GCCAGACUGGUGUUCCCCCAGGGAAGUGCUUACCUCCAGCACCGCAGACUUACAAGGACUGAGCUGUAACUCACUGUGGCGGCAAGAGCUGGAGAGUUAACACCAACCCAGGGCAGGAGAAGGAGUCCAUAGUGUGCAGCCAUGGAGGCCGCUCUCUCUCCUGCGCUGCUGGAAAGAGCUGUGUUGUGAACAUUGAGCGGACUGCAGGUGAGGGGAAGUGGCUGCUACUGCAGGCACACAGAGGACUGGACAUUCUCUCCGCGGCUACUACAAUAAGGAGCGCCAAGGCAGAGAAGCUGGCAGAGGACAAGGGAGCGGCCACCUCUGAAGUCCUGCCUUCAGAGCCGACUCCUCUCAGUACAGUACUGUAUCCUUUUACCAUAGCGCUGGGCACUCAGCUAGUUUACUGGCAUCAGCUCACACUGUACUGAGGGGAUAUGUGGAGAAGGCCGGGUAGUUGUCAGUUCUCUCCAGCAGCAGCACACAGCAGAGAGAGGUGAAUUCACUGACCACCAAUGAUAGUGAAGGUGGGAGUGGCAUAAGCCGAACUAAAAGGGUGAUUGUCCGGAGUCCAUCACUAAAAACAUCUGAGGUUUCUCCUGGAUGGUCUUCUGAACCCAGAACCCCAUUGUAAAGUGGUGCUGACACUCCCCUUUUCUACCAUGACUGCCUACUUGCUAUGCGGAGUACCCUUCAGGUUUCCCCUGGAUGGUCUUCUGAACCCGGAACCCCAUUGAGAAGUGGCAAUGACACCCCCCUUUUCUACCAUGCUGGCCUACUUGCUAUGUGGACCCCCCUGCGGUGUGACCAGGACAACCUUUCAGGUUUCUCUGGAAUGUUCUUGAAGACCUGAACACAUCUCCAGCUGAAUGUUGCGCUGAUUGUGUCCCCCCCCCUUCUAACCUGAUGGCACACUGAAGAUGUAGCCCCCCCUCACUGCGGUGUGACCAGGAGUACCCUUCAGGUUUCCCCUGGACGUUCUUAAAGACCCUGAACCCCUCUACAGUGGAAAGUGGCGCUGACACCCCCCUUCUACCAUGACGGCUUACUAGCAAUGUGCCCCCUCCCCCGUGUAGUGCUGUGUUGCCCACUAUUGUGUCCUAACCCUACUUGUAACACUGUCCACCCCAAAAUCAAUUUAGUUUUACAAUAAAGAACACACCAUUUAAAAAAAAAAAAUCAAGUUUAUUAUUGAUUAUAGAAAGUUUAACAAUCUAUUUUGAAUUUAAGAAUAAAACUUGAAUCUGUUGGUACGGUGGAAGUGAAACUUACUGCGUUUGCAGAUGAUGUUUUAAUAUAUAUAUCCAAUCCCAAACAAUCCCUUGAACCGUUGCUGGAACUACUUGAUAGGGUGGGAUCUCUAUCUGGCUUUUUUAUAAAUUUUGAAAAAUCUAGUGCACUCUAUUUAAAACACGGAUUUUAUAGACCCUUAUGGGCGGCGCAAUUACCUCUGAACUGGGCAAAAAAGAAACUCCCGUAUUUGGGUGUUCUUCUCCCCAAAUAUAUUGCAAACCUCUAUGACAUUAAUAUCAAGAAAACGCUUACUAAACUUAUGUGGGACCUUGGGGAGAUGGCCCAUUUACAACUUUCCUUCUUAGGUAGGAUAAAUAUAAUCAAAAUAAUAUAUUCUCCGAAACUCCUUUAUCCAUUGCAAGUUCUCCCUCUUUUGCUUUCUAGACAAGAUCUCUUACAGAUUACAUCAGCCUUUAGGAAAUUUAUUUGGAAUAAUAAACGCGUGAGAAUUGUCCUAUUUAAAUUAUGUCAGCCUAAAACUAAUGGGGGUGUUAACUUUCCAGAUAUUUUGACAUAUAGCUAUGCUUCCCACAUCCGAUACAUCAAGGACUGGUUGUCUUGUACACACACUUACACUGACUCACUUCUUGAACAAAAUUAAAUUCCUCAUAUAUCCCUGACAGCCUUUCUACACUUAAAUGAUGCAGAGGUCCCUACGGACUUAACUAAUAAUCCCCUCUUAAUGACCACAAGGAAAGUUUGGCUGUCCCUGAGACAUAAAUACAAAUUGCACAAACACUUGUCUAUCCACUUGCCUUUCUUACAGAAUCCAGGUUUUCAAAACGGUGGGGCAGCCUUUCCCUUUAUUGAAUGGAAAUCACUAGGACUUUGCAGUAUAGGACAGCUAAUUAAUUUUGACUCCCAUAAACCCUUAUCCUAUGCGGAGGCCCUAUCUAAAUACCCAUAUAUUGGCCCCCAGAACUUUGCUUUCUUCCAAGCCCAACAUUAUGUUAAUACGGUUUCUAGAUUAUUGACCACGACUGAUUGGGAUAACAAUCUGGAUCGCAUGCUAUUAAGACCGGAACAAUCCAAAGGCGCUAUUUCCUUUUACUAUAAACAACUUCAUACUAUAAUAGAACAUUCAACAUUUGGAACUGGGAUAGCCCAAUGGCUAGAACAUUUUCCUAACUUGGAUGUUGAUGGGUUACUACGCAUGCUGCAUCUCUCAAUGGCUAUGUUCCCUGCGGCUAAGUACACUGAAAUGUAUCUUAAUAUUUUUCAUAGAUCUUAUAUUUCUCCUCAUAGAGGAUUUUUAAUAGGUCUUCUAAAUGACCCUUGUUGUCCUAAAUGCGGUCACCAAAGGGCAGACCUCUACCAUUGCCUAUGGGCUUGCCCACUUUUAAGAAGGUUCUGGUUAGCAGUGUGGCGCUUUGCCUCCCAACAUUUAGUAAACUAUGUCCCCUUCACACCGGAAUGGGCAUUAUUUAGUAUGAUACCUCCUGGCACUAGAGCUCCCAAGGCCGUUCAAAAAUUACUCUUAGCAAUCUCAUCUGCGGCUAGAAAAGCUCUUUUGCACAUGUGGAUCAAUAGUUCUGCUCCAACUCUAGAAAUGUUUAAGGACAAAUUAUUUUUUCUUUGCCAUAUGGAUUGGCUGGAGGCCUCUCUUCAAAAAGAGUCUCGUACCGAAUCCUUUUUCGCAACAUGGGAAAGUUUUAUUGAAACGCUACCCAUUCAUACUAGAGAGGCCAUUAGCCAAUGCUUUUGCAACACACUUUGGUAUGAAACCAGGAAUUUUCUUAGAGACCCACCCAUUGCCCUUGAUAACGCUGAUUCGCGGGCAUAGCGUGUCCCUGUCUCUCCGAUGGUCGAGGAUCACCUUGUGAAUGUUAUUUGUUAUCUCACAAUGUUAUGUGAAUUACCGGUUUUAUAAUCUUCCCUACACUUUGCACUAUGUCAUAUAUAAAUUGUACUAUGUUUUCUUUGUUAUUUUUCACAAUGAUUCUAUGAAUAUUGUCACUUUCUCUAUGGAAAUGCUUCA